GGUGGGCUGGCCCUUUUUGCCGGAAACAGAAUAGAGGAGGAGCGUUAUCUUGCAGCUCAAAUGACAGGAGCCACUAAGGAGCAUUGAUAGCGGAUACUGGAGAACCUUCGAAAGUGAAGCUUCAUAGCAGGGUCCCUUCUAACUGUAGCACCAAACGCCCUGAUGGCUUCUCUGCAGAGCUGCUGCUGAACAAAGCUUGGCUAGGAAAGACUGGUUCAUUCAAGAAGAAAAGGACAAAGCCCCAGACAGGCCCUGGGUGUGAAUCUCCAGACUUCUGUGAAUCUCCGGACUUCUCCUGAUUCAUGGCUGCUCUUGGAAAGGACGAGCCUUUGGACCUCCUACAUAAUCUGACACCCACAGCAAAGUUUCGGCAAAACGUUUCAGUUUUACGCAACAUAUGCAACAAACACAUGAAAGGAAACUACAAAUGUUAUCUGUAAUCAAGAAUGCCUUAUUUUUGUCCAUAAAUAAAAUAAUUAUUUUCAAA